AAUGUUGUUGCAAUAGUAAUUGAACUUAGUACGAGAGGAACCGUUCAUCGGAUAAUUGGUAUUUGGGCCUGCCUAAGCAGGUAAUGGCCCGAAGCUAUCAUCCGUUGGGUUAUGGCUGAACGCCUCUAAGUCAGAACCCGUGCUAGAACGCGACGAUUACCGCCUUUUCCGAUUUUUAGUUGAAUACGAAUAGAUCUUCGGGUCCAAGAUCAUACUACGCGGGGUCAUGUUGGAGAGCGGAAAGACUUUGUUACAUUCCCAUUAAUGUUAAUGUCAAAUAUUGUCAAGGACAAAUCCGUUGCAAACGACUUUAAUUGAACGGGGUAUUGUAAGCAGUAGAGUAGCCUUGUUUCUGCGAUCUGUUGAGAUUAAGUCCAUUGUUCUAUAGAUUU
rfam:Mortierella elongata AG-77 unplaced genomic scaffold K457scaffold_58, whole genome shotgun sequence.